rnacentral:sRNA from 1 species
CCUCCAUGAUCUGCGGGCAGAUCAGGUGGACGUGGCAGUCGAUGGCGCCCGCCGUGAGAAUGCGCCCGUUGCCUGCGACGACCUCGGUCGAGGGUCCGACGACCAGAUCGGGAUGGACGCCGUCCAUGAUGUCGGGGUUGCCGGCCUUGCCGAUCGCGACGAUGCGCCCGUCGCGGAUGCCUAUGUCGGCCUUGAUGAUCCCCCAGUGGUCGAGCACGACGGCGCCGGUGAUGACGGUGUCGGGGGCGCCGUCGGCACGGGUGGCCCGCGACUGUCCCAUCGACUCGCGCAG